rnacentral:lncRNA from 1 species
GUGAUUCAGAAGAGGAACCUUUUCAAGACUCUGGAUCAGAAUAUCAGCCGUCAAUAUCAAGUGGAAGGCAAAGUUUAUCCGAUGUGGAUGAUGGUUUAACCUUAACCGAUUUGGAAUAUAUUCCAGUGAGUUUAAAUGGAUCUAAUAGUCCGGCAAAUUUAGAUGUUCAAGCGGCCAGGUAUUUUUAAAACUUUACUUAGGAUGACUUGAAAAAUAAAACUUACUUUUUUUCUAGCACUAGUAUUGUUUCUGAUAAAAAAACAAGGAAUCGAAAACGGAGCUCAAAAAAUGAAUGAAAAAAUAAUAUAAGAAAAAGAUUGCGACAAUCAGGUCAGGAAUAUAAAAGCUGCAAGGGUGGUACUGUUUCCGAAAAAAGACCUAAACGAAACUGUGUUAACUGUCGUUUCAAAUGCCUUGAUAAUUUUACUGAAAAUGAAGUAGUGUUAAUCCAUAAAGAGUUUUGGAGCAACACUGAUAGC